rnacentral:lncRNA from 1 species
AUUAAAAUUAAUAUUUUUUGAAGUAUAGAAAUUUAAAUUAAUUUUCAUAAAUAUUUGAUAACAAAUUUAUCACAUAUAAUUAUACCUUAAAAUUAAAAGACAUGGAUGUGGAUGGAGUUUGGAUGGAUUCAUGAUUACAUCAACUAGAUCCAGGAUCUUGGCUUUCAAAAUCUUAUUUUUCGAAUGUAAUAUCCCAAAUCCUGAAUAAAAUGACCAUAUUUAGUUUAUCUCAAAUCCGUUUAACUAUUUUUUCUUUCAAAUCUUCAUUGAUUUAAUCACAAAUAACUAAUCAAUAAAAAAAAAAAUAUCUAGAUGCGGAUGAUCAUACUUUUAAAUUGACAAACAUAGAUAUCGAUUUAGUUUGGACAGAAUCAUGAUAUGAUUAGCUAUAUCUUGACCGUUCACCUUCAAUAUCUUAAAUCUUCAUAUCUCAAAUCCUUAACAAUUUGACCAUAUUUGGUUUGCUAAAAUACGAUUAGCUCUUUUUCUUCUUCUUUUUUAAAAAAAUUUAAAUCCUUAUUGAUCUAAUUACAAAUGUCGAACCAAAUAAGAAAACAUGUCAAGAUGCGGAUAAUCAUACCUUAAAAUCGAGAAACAUAGAUAUGGAUUGAUUUUGAACAGAUUCAUGAUUUCAUCAAGUAGAUCCAGACCGUUGACCACCUUCAAUAUCUUAUUUUUCGAACACGCAAAAUCUCAAGUCAUGAACAAUUUGACCAUAUAGUUUACGCAAAUCCAAUUAACUUAUUAUUAUUAUUAUUAAAAUUCUGAUGGAUCUAAUCACAAAAAGAAUAACAAUAUAAGAAAACAUAUCUAGAUGCGGAUAAUCAUACCUUAAAAUCGAGAGACAUAAAAUAUGGAUUAAGCUUGAACGGAUUCAUGACUUCAUCAGCAAGAUCCAUGCUGUUGACCGCCUUUUUACCAUAUAGUUUACCCAAAUCCAAUUAACUUUUUUUUUAUUAUUAAAAUUCUUAUGGAUCUAAUCACAAAAAGACUAACAAUAUAAAAAAAACAUAUCUAGAUGCGGAUAAUCAUAC